AGCAGCUCUGGCUCACAGUGGGCUCCCACUGAAGAACCUCUCCUCUUGGAGAAGACCCAUCUCCUGCUCUUCAUUCAGCUCUUCAGCUCGUUCCAGAGGCUGUGGCUCAGAACCAGCGGGGAAGAGGGGACAAAGAAGCCUUUUGCUUUGGAAGCAUCCUUCAGGAGGAACACGUUACAAGACCCACAGUCAUGCAGUAGUAAGACACAUCACAGAUUACUUCCUCCCUUCGCAUCUCAACAGCCUCUCUGCAACCCAGAGAGCAGCAAAGACUGGGAGACCCAUGCUCCACUGUGUCCAUCCAUCUCGUUCCUUCCUUUACCAGGCAGCCAUGUGGAAGGUAUUGGCUUAUGGGUUUAAGCCCGCUAAUUAAAACGUGCUGGAGAGGUUU